rnacentral:rRNA from 1 species
ACGGCUCAGUAACACGUGGCUAACCUGCCCUUAGGACGAGAACAACCCCGGGAAACUGGGGCUAACUCUCGAUAGGCGAAGAACUCUGGAAUGAGUCUUUACCUAAAAAGAUUCACGUUAUCCUCGUGAACCUGCCUAAGGAUGAGGCCGCGACCGAUCAGGUUGUUGGCGAGGUAAUGGCUCACCAAGCCUUUUACCGGUGCGGGCCGUGGGAGCGGGAGCCCGGAGAUGGGUACUGAGACAAGGACCCAGGCCCUACGGGGCGCAGCAGUCGCGAAACCUUUGCAAUAAGCGAAAGCUUGACAGGGCUAUCCCGAGUGCCAUCCGCUGAGGAAGGCUUUUACCCAGUCUAGAACGCUGGGGGAAUAGGGAGAGGGCAAGUCUGGUGUCAGCCGCCGCGGUAAUACCAGCUCUCCGAGUGGUGUGGAUGUUUAUUGGGCCUAAAGCAUCCGUAGCUGGCUAAGUUAGUCCCUUGUUAAAUCCACCGAAUUAAUCGUUGGAUCGCGGGGGAUACUGCUUGGCUAGGGGACGAGAGAGGCAGACGGUAUUUUCGGGGUAGGGGUGAAAUCCUAUAAUCCCGGGAAGACCACCAGUGGCGAAGGCUGUCUGCUAGAACGCGCCCGACGGUGAGGGAUGAAAGCUGGGGGAGCGAACCGGAUUAGAUACCCGGGUAGUCCCAGCUGUAAACGAUGCAGACUAGGUGUUUGGACGGCCACGUGCCGUUCUAGUGCCGCAGGGAAGCUGUUAAGUCUGCCGCCUGGGGAGUACGAUCGCAAGAUUGAAACUUAAAGGAAUUGGCGGGGGAGCAC